AUUCAACAAGGCAGUUUGAGGUUGAAAUCCAUUUGAAUUGGGAAAGAUGAGUCACGCUCAAGGUAAAUGAUGUCAUUUAUAAAAUGUGGAUGUCUUCAGCUGAACCAGAGAGUGAUGGAUCUAUUUAAAACACGUGCCGCACAACCAGUGGUGCCGCUGUAAAGGCCUGGACACACCGUGAUUUAUGACGGCAACAUUUCACAGCAAAAAUCAAUUAAUUCGAAUGGAAUCUGGAUCAGAGGAUACGCACGAGAAGGUACGAGCCGCAUCCUGAGGUCGCAAAGCUGUUGAAUGUGGAUGAUUAUUACAUGAAUGGAGUGUAGCUCCACCAGUGAAGUCUGGUGAAGUCUCGGCACCCAGAGCUCGCUCUCCAGAAGUCCGCAUUACCCAGCCCCCUCGUGGACUUCAUGAAUUGUGAAUCUUCCAUGCAGCCCCGUUCGGUUGAUGUCUGCGAUGGCGGGUAAGACUGCAUCAGAAUUCGGAAGUACCGGGAGGGCUGUUGGUGCACCGCAGCGCUGGAUCUCCAGUGGAGCAGGAGGCCUGCUGAAAGAAAGAUCCUCAGAUGCUUCUUACCUGCUACUUUCUCCAGCCCUCAGAGAACGAGCACAGCGUGGUGUAGAAAACUCUCUAAAACAUACAUGUUUUUCAUCGCCUGGAGAUAUUGUUUGAAGAUCAUUUUUAGCAUUCUCAGUCAGCACUUCUCAAACUGGGCGUGCCGUGCGGAGCCACUACAUUGGG